GACGAACGCUGGCGGCGUGCUUAACACAUGCAAGCCGAACGAUGACGACCGAGCUUGCUCGGUCUGAUUAGUGGCGAACGGGUGAGUAACACGUGAGCAACCUGCCCUUCACUCUGGGAUAACCUCGGGAAAUCGGGGCUAAUACCGGAUAUGAGCUCCUGUCGCAUGGCGGGUGUUGGAAAGUUUUUCGGUGAAGGAUGGGCUCGCGGCCUAUCAGUUUGUUGGUGAGGUAGUGGCUCACCAAGGCGAUGACGGGUAGCCGGCCUGAGAGGGCGACCGGCCACACUGGGACUGAGACACGGCCCAGACUCCUACGGGAGGCAGCAGUGGGGAAUAUUGCACAAUGGGCGAAAGCCUGAUGCAGCGACGCCGCGUGAGGGAUGACGGCCUUCGGGUUGUAAACCUCUUUCAGCAGGGAAGAAGCGAAAGUGACGGUACCUGCAGAAGAAGCGCCGGCUAACUACGUG
rnacentral:rRNA from 1 species